AGGAGCCAGCGGGUGGGCUCUCGGCUGCAGGACCCUCAGAGCGAGCAGCUGGGGCCAGGAACCCGGUACUCCCCUGGGAAACGCUGCUGCCGUGAAGGUUGAGAGGGGCUGGAUCGGGCUCGCUGGGCACCAGAGACUCCAGGAGACAAAGGCAGAGCGGUUAGGUGUAUUACGGCAGCACUAGGGAGCCGCAGUCCUGGAGCCGGACCCUGCGGUGCCGGGUGCUGCACGGCCCACAACAGCCGGGCCCUGCCCCGCUAAGUGAGGAACGAGACCCAGCGGCUGGACGCUGCAGCGAGUAAAUUCAGGCAGGAGCUGCCCAAGGCCUCUCAUGCCGGGCGCCGCCCAGACCCCGGCUGAGAUCAGGGCCCCCUCGUGCCGGGCGCCGCCCAGACCCCGGCUGAGAUCAGGGCCCCCUCGUGCCGGGCGCCGCCCAGACCCCGGCUGAGAUCGGGGCCCCCUCGUGCCGGGCGCCGCCCAGACCCCGGCUGAGAUCGGGGCCCCCUCGUGCCGGGCGCCGCCCAGACCCCGGCUGAGAUCGGGGCCCCCUCGUGCCGGGCGCCGCCCAGAUCCCGGCUGAGAUCAGGGCCCCAUCACGCCGGGUGCCGCCCAGACCCCGGCUGAGAUCAGGGCCCCCUCGUGCCGGGCGCUGCCCAGACCCCGGCUGAGAUCGGGGCCCCCUCGUGCCGGGUGCCGCCCAGACCCCGGCUGAGAUCGGGGCCCCAUCACGCCGGGCGCCGCCCAGACCCCGGCCGAGAUUGGGGCCCUGUCGCGCCGGGCGCCGCCCAGACCCCAGCUGAGAUUGGGGCCCCAUCACGCCGGGUGCUGCCCAAGCGCCAGCCAAGAUCGGGGCCCCGUUGGACCGGACGCUGCCCAGACUCCGGCCAAGCGCCAGGCAGCAUCUCACACCUAGUGUGCACUGGUGUCAAAUGCAUUUCACAGCCGGUAUGCACUGGCGUCUCACGUGCCGAGCGCCGGGCAGCGUCUCACACCUGGUGUGCGCUGGUGUCAUACAGGUCCGGAGCGACUCAACCUCUGUGUCAGAGCUGCCAGCGAGGGAGGGUCCGUCUGGUCCCGCAGCUCAGAUGCUCCAACAAGGCAGAGCUCCCUGAUCCUGCUGAGUCACGGGUUCCCCCUGCCCCCUGGUGCUCUCUCACCACCCCAUGGCGGGGAGCAUAGGGGAGGGGAGAACAGCCUGCUCCUGCUGGCCCCAGGCCUGGGUCUCUGGUCCUCCGUGGGGGCCAGGGAUGUGGGGUUAAAGCCGCUUUGCUGCCCCGUAUCCUGGGCCCUGCCUGGCUUUGGAGUCGGUACAGCAGCCUCAGGGCUGCUCUAACUCCCGCUCCGCCCCCAUGGGCCCCAGGGGGCAGGGAAUAGCCACAGCGCAGUGCACCUCGAUCAGCGGAGUGGGGCACAGAGACCCUGGUGACAGGGACUCUCGGUAGGACCGGGGGGUUCUCAAUGUACCGACCUCCUUGCAGCCCCAACCCACACAGCCUAGUCACACUCCCCCACCCCCAGGGCGGCCCCACGCCCCAGGAUUGCUCUGGGGGAGACGCAGGGGGCUUGAGCUCCCCCUCUACUGGCUCAGAGCAGGUGCUGCAGGUGCAAGGUGUGCCCUGCGCAGUGCAGCGUGACCUUUGGGCAUGGGACCAGGGGGCUGCUGGGUCUCUGGCCGAAGCUCCCACACCAGAGGGGUCCCACUACCCAGCCAGAGACUGACAAUAACUCCUAGCGCUUUGCAAACUGCCAAGAGAUUGGUGUCAAAGGUGUUGUCCCCUGUGAAUAGCCAGGGGAAACUAAGGCACAGGGACGUGGCAAGGCUGAGGCCACACAGUGAGUAUCAGAGCCAGAAAGGGAACCCAGGAGUCCGGGCUCCCAAACCCCUUCACCGCACUGUACCUACUAGCCCUCACUUCCCUCCUAGAGCCAGGGACAGAACCCAGGAGUCCUGGCUCCCCCCUACCCCCGGUCUAACCACCAGACCCCACUCCCUUCCCAGAGCCAGGG